rnacentral:lncRNA from 10 species
CAACACAAAAACCUUCGCCUUCCUCGAGCCGCACGUCAAAUAGCCGCGAUCGGCAGCCACACUUCAAAGGGAUCGCCGCGCCCGCCCAAUCGCAGCUCUCGCCGGGACCCCGGGGCGGGGAGAGCGGCGGGCUGAGGCCGGCUCCAUCGGUGGGCGGGGAGAGCCUUAAAGGGGCCGCGCCGCGCGCCGCCGCUGCCUCGGUCUCGGCCGCUCCCGGGAUUCCUCCCCUCCCCCCGACUGGGCCUUCCUCGCCCUGGGGUCCCCCGCCUGGGACGGGACUUCUCCGGGACCCUGAGCUCUGCGCCCCGUCCUCCUUUCCGGCCGCUCUCUCUCCUCUCUCCCUUCUCACCACUGGGCUUCUUACCGUGUCCUGCUGAGGGGCGUGAAGUUCCUCACUGUACCGCGCCCAGCUGCUACGAGGAGAGACCGAGAUCACGGGCGAGGCGGGUGUCCCUGGAGGGGGAUCUCUCUCUAAGCGCUGCUCGGCAACACAACCCCUCCGCCCCCCCAUCCUUCUCACUCCGGGGGAAAAAGCACUUGCUUUCCCCAGGCAAAUUUCGGGAUAAAAACUUUUAAUUAAAAAUAACAAUACCCUUCCCGACUCCCUGCGCCUUUCUGAUACAGUGUGCAUUGCUAGCUUCGCCCUGGGCAGAGAUUUUACGUAGUCAUAGUCCUGACAUCCAAGUUCCGGAUCCGCCGCUUUUCCGGAGGCGAAGUUGGUCCUUUGGGUGCCGAACUCUGGGGAGCCCACUUCUCCGUGCGCUCGGCGGCCAGUGGAGGCGCGCUGGUGUCACUGCCUGGCUCCCAGCACCACUUUUCCAGUCCCGAUCCAUCACUCCGGUUGUCAGGGCUGUCACUCGGGGCACUGCUGUGUAGAGCGGGAAGGGCAGAAGGAAGCCAGGGUGCAGAGAGG